rnacentral:rRNA from 1 species
AGGACGAACGCUGGCGGCGUGCUUAACACAUGCAAGUCGAGCGGUAAGGCCUCCUUCGGGGGGUACACGAGCGGCGAACGGGUGAGUAACACGUGGGUGACCUGCCCUCAGCUCUGGGAUAAGCCUGGAAACCGGGUCUAAUACCGGAUGGGACUGCUUGCCGCAUGGUGGGUGGUGGAAAGUUUUUUCGGCUGGGGAUGGGCCCGCGGCCUAUCAGCUUGUUGGUGGGGUGAUGGCCUACCAAGGCGUGACGGGUA